rnacentral:lncRNA from 10 species
CAGAAGCAGCAGCCAUGAAGAAUGAAAGUUUUAAAACACAAGGAGCAAGUUCAAAAGUCUCGCUCUAUCACCAGUCUGGAGUCCAGUGGCAUGAUCUCAGAUUACUGCAGCCUUCACCUCCCAGGUUCAAGCAAUUCUCCUGCCUCAGCCUCCCGAGGAGCUGGGACAACAGGCACAUGCGACCAUGCCCAGAAACAGCAGCUAUGAAGCCUGCAAAUUUGAAAAAAAGAAAAGAACGUGCAAAAGAACACAACCUAAAAGUGGCUUCAGAGGAAAAGC